rnacentral:rRNA from 1 species
AUGAAAUAUGUCAGCUUAAAAUUCCGAGGGCGGAACGAGGAUUGUGUGGCUUGGCGCUACGAGAAAUCUGGAGUGUUCACGGUUAAAAGUGCAUAUAAGCUAGUAGACUCGCUCGGAAGAAAUAGUACACUACUGGCGACUAGCUCCUCGAGCGAUCCGGGAGACCGAAGUAUUUGGGAUGCCAUUUGGAAAGCUAAUGUACCAGAAAAGGUAAAAAUCUUGGGAUGGAGAGUGGCUACCAAAACUCUGGCUACCAAGCAUAAUACCUUCAGAAGGACCAUCACUGAAGAUAACAUUUGUGAAAUCUGUGGAGCAGAGAGGGAAGAUGAGAACCACGCUGUUAUUUCAUGCACUAGGAGUGUGGCACUAAGACAUGCAUUGAGGGAUGUGUGGGAUCUGCUAAAGGUCUUGGAGUUCAGAUUUACAGGGCCAGAUUGGCUGCAAUUGCUACUGCUAGCAAACCCCAAGGAAGUCAGGGGCAAGAUUUUGUUAAUGAUGUGGCAGGCAUGGAAUCUGAGGAAUAAUGUAGUACAUGGGGAUGGAAAGGGUACAGUUACAGGAUCAGUGCAGUAUCUUAUGAGGUUACAAGAUGAAUUGCUGGUAGCUGCAUGUGGUCUGAGGGAGCAUUCGGACAACGGCAAAGUGUCACUACACCCUGCUAAACUGGAAGCGACAGUCCCCCUGGCUCCUAGUCAUUGGAUAGCUCCCCCGCUAGGAAUGGCCAAGUUGAAUUCUGAUGCGGCUUUCAUAGGAGAGACGGGAGACACAUGGGGUGGCGGUGUGGCCAGAGAUCACUUGGGGCGUGUUUUCAUGUCCAUUGGAAGGCGCCUGAACCGGUGCAGUUCAGUGGAGGAAGCAGAAGGGGCUGCAGCGCUGCUAGGCUUGACUGAAUUUGCGAAACGUUAUAGAGGUCAGGUAAUACUAGAGACUGACUGCAUGUGUAUCGGUCGGGAGCUGCAGGGGCAUGCAAAGUAG